rnacentral:rRNA from 1 species
GACGAACGCUGGCGGCGUGCCUAAUACAUGCAAGUAGGACGCACAGUUUAUACCGUAGCUUGCUACACCAUAGACUGUGAGUUGCGAACGGGUGAGUAACGCGUAGGUAACCUGCCUAUUAGAGGGGGAUAACUAUUGGAAACGAUAGCUAAUACCGCAUAACAGUAUGUAACACAUGUUAGAUGCUUGAAAGAUGCAAUUGCAUCGCUAGUAGAUGGACCUGCGUUGUAUUAGCUAGUAGGUAGGGUAAUGGCCUACCUAGGCGACGAUACAUAGCCGACCUGAGAGGGUGAUCGGCCACACUGGGACUGAGACACGGCCCAGACUCCUACGGGAGGCAGCAGUAGGGAAUCUUCGGCAAUGGGGGGAACCCUGACCGAGCAACGCCGCGUGAGUGAAGAAGGUUUUCGGAUCGUAAAGCUCUGUUGUUAAGGAAGAACGAGUGUGAGAAGGAAAGUUCAU